AAAUAUGAUUACAGAUGUAAAUCAUAACUAUACAAUUCAUGAAAGUCAUGGAGACAUCCAGAUUUUGUGUUGGACAGCAUCCAGGAAAAAGCAGGACUAGUCGUGGAAGGAAACUGAAAAUGCACUUCUAGAAUGAUUUCCCAUCAUCACCACCCUAAAUAUAAGUUCUCUCAUCUACAAGAGAUGCCAUAGCCUGCAUAUGGGUUUGAGCUUCUUUCACCCAAACAUUGAUCCUUCAAGUAGAGCCUGUCUGUCCAUACAAGAUGAAGAGAAGGAUUGGAAAGCAAC